rnacentral:lncRNA from 1 species
AUCCUAAUCAAGUUACUAACCCUUUCCAUCCUCACCUGUAAAAUGGGAGCAAUUCACAUACUCACUUACUUAUUUGGAAAUAUUCACCGAGAUCCUAGGAUGAGGUGGAUGCUGCUCUAUUCAUGAGGACUACAUCAGUGAACUAGACAGGAAAACAUCUACCUUCACAAAGCAUCCAUUCUCAUGGGUUUCAAAGAGAACAGAGACAAGCCCGUGCCCUGAAGCACGUCAGUGCUACCAGAGGAUCAAUACAAGUCAUUAUCCAGGGGAUAAAAACAAGCAAGUGGCAGAGUCAGGCCUGCACGGAGUCUCCAGACACCAGACACAAUUUUCUUCCUACCCCUCUGCCAGGCAGUCAACGAUGCUAUAUUCAUGACCUAACUUCCACAUCUUGCCAGCAUGUUCCAUGUGUAAUCCAGAGCUGUCUACCUAGGAUCACUGGACCCUAGAAUUUUCUGCAAAUCUGUUCUCUGACACAUAAGAAGAAUAUCCCAUUAGUGGACUAGUCUAACUCCUUGUGGCAUUGUGACUGCUUAUUCCACCUUUAAUGAAGAAAAAGAAAAUUAUCCGAUGGAAGAGCCAUGAAGAGGAUACACACUGGCCAAUUGAACUAAAAAUAUCAACUAAACUGUUAACACCUACAGAGUAUAGUGUGAACACUGAAUUUUCAAAUCUGUUAAAUAAUGCAAUGCCUGAUACAUACUGAAUAUCCAUUUAAGUAUGUGCAUUUGUAGAUGUCUUAGCUGAGUCACCAGUAGAUUUAAGGGUGUUUUUAAAGUUACUGAACAAAUAUCCCAUCCCACAGUGGCAAUGACCAAAUAAGUGCAUAUAUAUAUAUUCUGAUUGUGAUCAUUGAAUGUAUCAAAAUAUAAUUAUUUUCCAACUUCGAUAUGAGUUUUCUUGAACAGCAG